UCCAGCCUUGCUUACUGAAGGGGG
rnacentral:piRNA from 1 species